GUUCGAUUUUGUAAAUUUUUCCAUAGCCUCCGAAAAGUUUCUUUGAAUACCCUCACAAGUCGUCACUAAUCGAUCCAUUUGUUUUUGUUUUCCAGAUCUGGCAGAUAUUGCUGCGCUAGAUAUUGAUGGGGGAAGUGUUGCCCCUCUUGCUCCUGAUGACAGUGGUGAUGAACACUACGGUGAUGGCGACGGCGUGGAAGCGGCGAGAUAUUUGUCGGGGAUGAUGACAUCGAAUCUGAAAAUGAGUAUUUUGAAUUUAUCUCUUCCACGUUAUUGAUGGAAACCACCAAUUAUUUGAUGCACCUCCUCAAAUAAAUGCCAAGAAAUUCGAUGGAUUCGUCUGAUGAGGAGCUGGCGCUUAUUUACCUUGCAGUAAACAAUAAAAAAAAAAAAAACGUGAAAAGAAGGAACUGGAUCCAUGAAAUUUAUUUCAAUCGGAAAGAACAUGGCGAAUUCUCUACUUUGAUGUCUCAGCUUCGCCAAGACAAUAUUCGUUUUUAUAAAUAUUUCCGAAUGACUAUUGAGUGCUUUGAUGAAGUACUGAGUAUUAUUAAAAAUGAGAUUCAAAAAGCAGACACACAAUUUCGAGAGUGCAUUGGACCCGAAGAACAACUUGCAUUGCCUUAAGAUAUUUCGCAACUGGCGAUUCAUUUAUCACAAUUGGUAAUAGCUUUCGUGUAGGAUUUAGAACAGUCAGCUUGAUUGUUAACGAAGUAUUUGAGGCGAUGUAAAAAAAAAUUGAAAGAUUUUAUUUGCCGGAACCAACAAUGGAAAUUUUGGGAAAAAUCAGCUCAAGGAUUUCAAGAUUUGUGGCAAUCUCCAAAUUGCAUAGGUAGCAUGGACGGUAAGCACGUGACUAUUAAGUGUCCCAAAAAAACUGGAUCGA